rnacentral:misc_RNA from 1 species
CCGAGUUUACAACUCCCAAACCCCUGUGAACAUACCCUUUAUGUUGCCUCGGCGGAUCAGCCCGCGCCCGUAAAACGGGACGGCCCGCCAGAGGAACCCUAAACUCUGUUUCUAUAUGUGAACUUCUGAGUAUAAAACCAUAAUAAAUCA